UACGUAGGGACCGAGCGUUGUCCGGAAUCAUUGGGCGUAAAGAGCGUGUAGGCGGCUUGCUAAGUCUUGCGUGAAAUCUCGGGGCUCAACCCCGAGCGGUCGUGGGAAACUGGCAGGCUAGAGUGCGGGAGAGGAGAAUGGAAUUCCUGGUGUAGCGGUGAAAUGCGCAGAUAUCAGGAGGAACACCGGUGGCGAAGGCGGGUCUCUGGGCCGAUACUGACGCUGAGGUGCGAAAGCGUGGGGAGCAAACAGG
rnacentral:rRNA from 1 species